rnacentral:rRNA from 1 species
GAUGAACGCUGGCGGCGUGCUUAACACAUGCAAGUCGAACGGAAAGGCCCAAGCUUGCUUGGGUACUCGAGUGGCGAACGGGUGAGUAACACGUGGGUGAACUGCCCUGCACUUCCGGAUAAGCCUGGGAAACUGGGGCUAAUACCGGAUAGGACCACUUCUUGGGUGUUGUGGUGGAAAGAUUUUUCGGUAUGGGAUGAGUUCGCGGCCUAUCCGCUUGUUGGUGGGGUAAUGGCCUACCAAGGCGUCGACGGGUAGCCGGCCUGUGAGGGUCUACGGCGACAAUGGGACUGAGAUACGGCGCAGAAUCCUACGGGAGGCAGUGGUGGGGAGUAUUGCAGAAUGGGGGCAAGUGUGAUGCAGAGGCGUCGCGUGCGGGAUGACGGCCUUCGGGUGGUAAACAACUUUCGCAAGAGACGAAGCGUUUUGGGCGGGUACCAGGAGGAGAAGCACGGGCAAACUACGG